rnacentral:snRNA from 1 species
ACACUAGCUUCACUUCAGAUCAUAUAAGUCUUUUGCCUUUUACUAAGGGUUUCCACUAAGAGGAGCAGUUCCAAGUCUUAACCCUUUGGAGGCUAAAAACAAAGAUAGUU